rnacentral:rRNA from 1 species
GUGAGGAAUAUUGCGCAAUGGAGGCAACUCUGACGCAGCCAUGCCGCGUGUGUGAAGAAGGUCUUCGGAUUGUAAAGCACUUUAAGUUGGGAGGAAGGGCAGUAAGUUAAUACCUUGCUGUUUUGACGUUACCGACAGAAUAAGCACCGGCUAACUUCGUGCCAGCAGCCGCGGUAAUACGAAGGGUGCAAGCGUUAAUCGGAAUUACUGGGCGUAAAGCGCGCGUAGGUGGUUUUGUAAGUUGGAGGUGAAAUCCCCGGGCUCAACCUGGGAACUGUCUCCAAAACUGCAUGACUAGAGUACGGUAGAGGGUAGUGGAAUUUCCUGUGUAGCGGUGAAAUGCGUAGAUAUAGGAAGGAACACCAGUGGCGAAGGCGACUACCUGGACUGAUACUGACACUGAGGUGCGAAAGCGUGGGGAGCAAACAGGAUUAGAAACCCUAGUAGUCC